GAGAGAGAGGAAAGUGUAAGCAGCAGACGGAGUUCACCUUCCUCUUCUCCGCUUCAGAACUUCCCACUACAUGGCAGUCUUCAUACAGCCGGGUCAAGAGAAACACACCUGGGGAUCUGGGACACAACGAGAGAAGGAACACAAGCAGCGGGAGUGAGAGAGGGAGAAGCAGGCUUCCCACUGAGCAGGGAACACGAUGCGGGUCUCGAUCCCUGGACCCCAGGAUCAUGACCUGAGGCAAAGGCAGAUGCCCAACCAACUGAACCAACCAGGCACUCCCAAACUCAGGAGUUUUAUUUACCACCACCACCCCUGGCAUCAAACACCAGUGCUCAUCUCUACAGGAAAAUCUAUCUUCAUCUUUGAUACCAUGGAUGAGGCAAAGGUAGCAGCAAGUGCAUCGUCGGAUUUGGCCCAUGGGCGCCAGUUCGCCAACCACUGUCACAGACAGGGAGAGCGGGAGAGAGAAUGCGGACGGCAGAGACUCAUCAC